ensembl:misc_RNA 7SK 7SK RNA
GGAUGUGAGGGCGAUCUGGCUGCGACAUCUGUUAUUCCAUUGAUUGCCAGGGUUGAUUUGGCUGAUCUGGCUGGCUAGGUGGGUGUCCCUUUCCUCCCUCACCGCUCCAUGUGCGUCCCUCCCAAAGCUGCAUGCUUCGUCGAAGAGGACGACCACCCCAGGUAGAGGAGGACCGUUUCCUCGAUCAAGGGUAUACAAGUAGCUGCGCUCACCUGCUAGAACCUCCAAACAAGCUCUCAAGAAGUCAGUAUUCAAUAAAAUGUUCACAACUCAAAACUGAAAACCAACUUAUAUCACUCAAACCAAAUGUAAAUCUUU